UGUUACACUCAAACUGUCUGAUACGGAACAAGUGAGGGUCUCUUAUUCAUACAGUACAUUACAUAACAAGAAUAUUACAAAUGUUCUCUACCUGCCAACAAACCUUCUGCGCGCCCUCAACAUUUUAUACAUCAGGCAGGAAGUUUGGAACAGUUAUAGCAGAAAAGAAAAGAGCAACGUGAACAUUCUGCUAAAUAUUUCCUCAUAUGUUCCACGGAAGGAAAAAAGCCCUACAGGUUUGAAGCAACAUAAGGUCACUAAUGAAAACAAGAGCAAAGCAACUGAAACCAGCACUGUAUUAAAUCUGCUCCGCGAAGACUGAAGUAGAGACACAGACAUCUCAAGAGAGCGUGCUGAAUGAAUGGAACACCACUGCAAGACUCGUUCACAAACAGUUAAAUCAGAGAGAGAGAAAACAGAGAAAUAUACUUCAUCGUGAUGAAACCUGAAAGGGACAGUGAAGACCAAUCUCACAUGGCAUCUAUGGUCACCAGCAGAGGAUGCUGGUGUGCUGCUGUCUCUACCAGGCAUCUUAACUAGAUUAACCAGCAAACCUCCUUUGGUCAACUAGCUUAAUCAAAAAUACCAUGCUGGAUAGCCUUGGAACUGAGUUUGGACCAGCAUGGAAAUUCAGCAAAAAAAAAAGAAAAAAAAAAGAAAGAAAAACAUUAAUCUGGUCCAUGAUUCAAGAGCUUGUCACAGAGGGAGAUCAUAUGACCAUGGACCCAUCAGCAACUGACCACAGUCUGUGUUCUAUUACAACUUUCUCAUUCUAAAGCAUGAAAUUUAUUCUACAUAAAACUGUCUAACCACUGUAAAGAGCCUACAUUUAGGCUAAUUAAAUAUAUUACUUGGCCAAUUUUUUUUUAAUUCUGAUUUUUUAAAUUGGGGGUUUACUCCCCAAUUUGGUAUGCCCAAUUCCCAAUGCGCUCUAGGUCCUCAUGGUGGUGUAGUGACUUGCCUCAAUCUGGGUGGCAGAGGAUGAACCUCCACAUCUGAGACAGCCAGUCUGCACAUCUUAUCACAUAGCUUGUUGAGUGCAUUACCGUGGAGUCCUAAUGCGUGUGGAGGCUCACACUAUUCCCCGCAGCAUCCAUGCACAACUCACUACACGCCACACAGAGAGCAAGAACCACAUUAUAGUGAUCACGAGGAGGUUAACCCAAUGUGACUCUACCCACCCUAGCAACCGGGCCAAUUGGUUGCUUAGGAAGCCUGACUGGAGUCACUCAGCACACCCUGGAUUUGAACUUGCAACUCCAGAUGUGGUAGUCAGCAUCUUUACUUGCUGAGCUACCCAGGUCCCCUUUAAUUUGGAUUAUUAAUAUUAAUAAAUCUAACUAUUUAUUGAACAUCAGUGACUCUUAAAAUCUUGGUGUUGCCACCAUUUCAUAAAAAAAAUAAGUCACUGGAGGCUGCGUAGUACAGUGAUUUUACCAUGUGUAAGGUAGUGUCAGAAAUUAACCUUUUGAUUGAGCGGCAUAUUUGCCCCUGCGUGGAUUUGAUUUUCAGUGGCAUUAUUAUCAACAGAAAUAAUUUAUUUGAGACCUACAAUAUAAUAUGAAAAAAUAUAUUAGAUGUUUUUUUUUGUUUGUUUUUUUUUGGGAGCAUUUUUGUCACUUUUGGUGGCUUUUUUUUUUUUUGUCCUAAGACCCUACUAAUUUCUGACCCUCUCAUGUGGCUUAUUGCUUUAAUGCAGCACAUUGCACUCUUCUACAUAAUAUUCUGACUUCACAAGAAUGUAGAAACUGUCAUUUGUAAAUUGCUUGCUUUAAACGUUUUCAAAGGAUUAAUGCAAAAUUGCAAUAAAAAAUACAUAGCGUUAAGCUAAAAAUCUGUGCCAAACUAAAUAGAAUGUAAACCGAGCAUAGAAUGUCAAUGCAUGUUCCUAACAUAUUCCUGUCUUUGCUGAAAGGUGUAAGAAAAUUAGCUGUUACAGAUUGUUAAGACUCAGCUUGUGGAAAAUUCAGGAAUGCUAAUAGAAAUCAACAUAUUGGACCACAAGCUACAAAUGAAGCCACGGGUUUUAACAAGAAGCGUUUAUGAGUGUGAGAGUAGAGACUGAAUUAGCAGAAAUGGGUGAGAAUCUUUUGAAAACAUCUGUAACGUAAAUGAAUAAUCAUGAACAGAUGCAGCACAAUCUUACUCUUCACAUGCCAUUAUGUGAGUAAAUGAUGGCAGAAUUUUCAUUUUGGUGAACUGUUAAGGCUUUGCUGAUAAAAUACUAUUUUUUUAAAGUCAUAAUAUUCAAGGUUUUGGCUGUAGCGAUUACCUGAACUGAUAUUCAACCUGUCCUGGUCACUGGACUGUUUGGAUAUUGUUACUGAAGCCAGACAGGCCCUUUUAACUGCCACUCAUGUCUCCUCUGAUCCAAUGAGCUUUGAUCAGGGCUGCUGGAGGCCCCACCCCUAGAGACAUGAGUCUGGUGAUUGACAGAUCAGAAGGCUGAACAUGACAGGUCAUGUGAGUUCAUUAAUCAUUGUUACGUUGCGGCAGAUCUUAAAAGAAAACACACGUUAGAAACGUAUUCAUGAGUUUAUGUCCAACUGGACAAACAGCCUGAUUUAUAAGAGCAUUUACUGAGACGGAGAUGUUGAAAAGAGACCAAACACACAGUUUUGCAUGCUAACAGAUAUGUAAACACACAAACACAAAUAUACAGUAGAUUCAAACUACAGCAUUUUUUAAAAAAAUCAGAAGCAGAAUUUGGGGAGUUAAAAAAGAGAGAAAUUAGAAAAUUAUUUUUUAGUGUUGAACGUACAGGUAGCUCUUAUAUGUUAUCAUAUGUCAUGUGUUAACAUGAGGAUUGUGAAGUUACAUGAACUAACAAUGAGCAAUUGUAUUUUCAUAAAUUAACCAAGAUUAAUUACUGCUGUAAACGUUACUGUUCAUUGUUAGUUCAUGAUAUCUAAUGCAUUUCCUAUGUUAACAAACAGAACAUUGUAAUGAAGUGUUACAAAACACCUGACUAAAAGAGGAAUUGCAGUUUUACCCAGAUAUAGAGGAACAGCCUCAAAAGAACUUAAGAGCCACAACAUCCUCAGCUAUCAAUCAAAACCCAGAAGACAUACCAUAUCCUGCUCUUAAAACUGGACGCAGACUACUAUUAAUAUAAUGUCACUGUGUGAAUAAAAAGGCGAUGAGACGUGACCAGAUGUUAAACGUAACACAGCACAACAGCUCUCACACUGGCUGCUGUUUUUCUGUAACUUUUGCCAGUUUUAAAUGUUUAGAUUUCUGUGUCAAUAACAAAUAAUGACAUCCAGAAAAAUGAAAAUCUUUUUAAAAAUCUAAUUUAAAACAUGUGUCAAGUUCUUUAAAAUGUAAUCUUUUUUUAUGUUGGUUUGAUACUUUUUUUAUUUAUUUUUUUUUUAUUUUUAUUAUUUCAUCAAUAGAAUUGAUUUAAUUACUGCAAAAAAGUAAAAAUAUUAUAAAUUACAAAUAGCAUGCCUUUUUGAUUCAUGAAUAUCAUAAUGUUUUACCAUAGGGUUAUUUGUCAUCUGACAACCUGAACUAAC